rnacentral:rRNA from 2 species
GGAUUGCCCUAGUAACGGCGAGUGAAGCGGCAACAGCUCAAAUUUGAAAUCUGGCGUCUUUGGCGUCCGAGUUGUAAUUUGCAGAGGGCGCUUUGGCAUUGGCAGCGGUCCAAGUUCCUUGGAACAGGACGUCACAGAGGGUGAGAAUCCCGUACGUGGUCGCUAGCCUUUACCGUGUAAAGCCCCUUCGACGAGUCGAGUUGUUUGGGAAUGCAGCUCUAAAUGGGAGGUAAAUUUCUUCUAAAGCUAAAUACUGGCCAGAGACCGAUAGCGCACAAGUAGAGUGAUCGAAAGAUGAAAAGCACUUUGGAAAGAGAGUUAAAAAGCACGUGAAAUUGUUGAAAGGGAAGCGCUUGCAGCCAGACUUGCCUGUAGUUGCUCAUCCGGGUUUUUACCCGGUGCACUCUUCUACAGGCAGGCCAGCAUCAGUUUGGACGGUUGGAUAAAGGUCUCUGUCAUGUACCUCUCUUCGGGGAGAACUUAUAGGGGAGACGACAUGCAACCAGUCUGGACUGAGGUCCGCGCAUCUGCUAGGAUGCUGGCGUAAUGGCUGUAAGCGGCCCGUCUUGAAACACGGACCAAGGAGUCUAACAUCUAUGCGAGUGUUUGGGUGUCAAGCCCGAGCGCGUAAUGAAAGUGAACGGAGGUGGGAACCUUUCGGGGUGCACCAUCGACCGAUCCUGAUGUCUUCGGAUGGAUUUGAGUAAGAGCAUAGCUGUUGGGACCCGAAAGAUGGUGAACUAUGCUUGAAUAGGGUGAAGCCAGAGGAAACUCUGGUGGAGGCUCGCAGCGGUUCUGACGUGCAAAUCGAUCGUCAAAUUUGGGCAUAGGGGCGAAAGACUAAUCGAAC